AUGUAGCAAUGUUUUGUCACGUGACGUUCUCCGACUGUCUUCGAAAGUGGGUUCUACGGUUGAGAGACGGGAUCUUGUGAAACGUGUUGGUCAGAGUUCGGUCGAGAUGUGUGCUCAUCGAUUCAACCAGUUGAGCAAUUGGGUCAUUGUGUCGAUUCUUGAUGAAGAGACGCGUGAGGAGAGGGUUGUUAUGCUUUCUAAGAUGAUUCAAGUCGCGAGGCAGUGUCUUCAUUGUCGGAACUAUAAUGCAAUGGUGGCGAUGGUGGUGGCCGGGUUGGGAUCUAGUCCGAUUCGACGGUUGAAGAAGACGUGGCAGAUGCUUGAGAAAGACACACUCGACCUCUUCCUAAAAAUGGAACAUCUAGUUUGAAUAAAAAACAACUACAAGAACUACAGGCAAUAUCUGAGAGCAACCAAUCCCCCAGCUGUACCCUACUUUGGUUUGUACUUGAAAGAUCUAACCUUUAUCAAGGACGGUAACCCGCACACCCUGAAAGGUGGUCUCGUCAACUGGACCAAACGACAUCAAAUUUUUGCCGUCCUAUCCGAGCUACACACAUUUCAGAGUUCGAAAUACAACAUUCGACCAGUUCCUCCAAUCAUUCAAUAUCUACUAUCACACCAAUUGACCCGGAUAUCAACCUGCACGAGAAAUCAAGAUCGCUGGAAACGACAGCAAAACGCACAACAAACUCGAGUGCUGGCACUGCUGGCAACUAGCACCGUGAAGCACACACGUAACAGUUACUAUACUAAACAGUCAUAUAAUCCGAAUCUUUAUUAACGUACGUUAAGUAAGUAAUCCCGUAUGUCCUAUUAGUCCAGAUUAUUUAUUUACGAUGAUGUACAGUGGACAGAGCAGGUUUAUUGGGUGCUGACGUGGAACGUCAAUAGACUCUUAGUUGAUUGUAUACUCACAA